UACGGAGGGUGCAAGCGUUAUCCGGAUUUACUGGGUUUAAAGGGUGCGCAGGCGGAUAUGUAAGUCAGUGGUGAAAUCUCUAGGCUUAACCUGGAAAUUGCCGUUGAUACUAUAUAUCUUGAAUGUUGUGGAGGUAAGCAGAAUAUGUCAUGUAGCGGUGAAAUGCUUAGAGAUGACAUAGAAUACCUAUUGCGAAGGCAGCUUACUACGCAGAUAUUGACGCUCAUGCACGAAAAGCGUGGGGAUCAAACAGG
rnacentral:rRNA from 1 species